rnacentral:lncRNA from 1 species
UAAACUCAAAUAGAAAUGAGGGCCGCUAAAUCAUACAUGAGGAUUCCUGGAAGUAGCUAUUGUUUUGAAAACCACAUAUUGACAUUUUCUACAUAAUAUGGUAUUUUUCUUUAUAUUUGUUAAACAUUUCCCAAUUAUAUUGCUAAUCUGGUGCUUGCAGCAAUCAGAAGUAUUGUAGACAGCAUGUGCCCUUGGCCACAGGUUUGACAUCUCUGAUCUAUUCUACUUCCCUCCAUCUCCAGGUGAGGAAACCAAGGCCGAGAGGGAAGCAGUAUCCAUUGUAACAUCAAACAACUUUCUAAAAAGAAACAACAAAAAGCCCAUAAUUGUCUGUAUCCAGUGCCAGAGGUCAAGCCAAUUCAACUAGCAUUUAUUAAGCACCUACUAUGUGCCAGCCACUGUGCUAAGUGCCUGGGAUGCAAGAAAGACAAAAACAAUCCCUGCUCUCAAGGAACUGAAAAUCUCAUGGGGAAGACGGCUUGCCAGACCAUGUUUCUGAACUUUAAAGAAUAAAUUAAAAGUAGAUGCCAAAUGGGGUAGUGUCACCAGGACUCCAAGAAGGCCUGCCUUGGCUAGCAGCCAGGAAGAAACAGAGACUCAUCAUCUACUCUGCUACUUCAAGUACUUGCUGCCUACCCCUCUUACUCAAGGAAUGAUGUUUGAGUAAUAUUAUCAUUGCGAUUGUGAAGGGCAUGACCAUACCCAUGAUUCUGAGAUGAGGAACUGAGGCAUACAAGGUAAAGUAACUUGCCCACGGUCACUCAGCUAGUAAAUGUCUGAGGCCAGAUUUGAACUCAC